rnacentral:rRNA from 1 species
AUUGAACGCUGGCGGAAUGCUUUACACAUGCAAGUCGAACGGCAGCACGGACUUCGGUCUGGUGGCGAGUGGCGAACGGGUGAGUAAUAUAUCGGAACGUGCCCAGUCGUGGGGGAUAACGUAGCGAAAGCUACGCUAAUACCGCAUACGAUCUACGGAUGAAAGCGGGGGAUCGCAAGACCUCGCGCAAUUGGAGCGGCCGAUAUCAGAUUGGGUAGGUGGUGAGGUAGAGGCUCACCAAGCGGCCGAGCUGUAGCUGGUCGGAGAGGACGACCAGCCACACUGGGACUGAGACACGGCCCAGACUCCUACGGGAGGCAGCAGUGGGGAAUUUUGGACAAUGGACGCAAGUCUGAUCCAGCUAUUCCGCGUGCAGGACGAAGGCCUUCGGGUUGUAAACUGCUUUUGUACAGAACGAAAAGGUCUCUAUUAAUACUAGGGGCUCAUGACGGUACUGUAAGAAUAAGCACCGGCUAACUACGUGCCAGCAGCCGCCGUAACAC